rnacentral:rRNA from 1 species
UGGGGAAUAUUGCACAAUGGGCGCAAGCCUGAUGCAGCCAUGCCGCGUGUAUGAAGAAGGCCUUCGGGUUGUAAAGUACUUUCAGUCGGGAGGAAGGUGUCAAGGUUAAUAACCUUGGCAAUUGACGUUACCGACAGAAGAAGCACCGGCUAACUCCGUGCCAGCAGCCGCGGUAAUACGGAGGGUGCAAGCGUUAAUCGGAAUUACUGGGCGUAAAGCGCACGCAGGCGGUCUGUCAAGUCGGAUGUGAAAUCCCCGGGCUCAACCUGGGAACUGCAUUCGAAACUGGCAGGCUAGAGUCUUGUAGAGGGGGGUAGGAUUCCAGGUGUAGCGGUGAAAUGCGUAGAGAUCUGGAGGAAUACCGGUGGCGAAGGCGGCCCCCUGGACAAAGACUGACGCUCAGGUGCGAAAGCGUGGGGAGCAAACAGG